AUGUUCCUGGAAUGUUCGUAAUAAACCUAUUAUUUUGAACCUACAGUAGACUUACGGGAACUCGAUUGUUUUUACCUGGAACACAGGCCUCAAGCUAAUUCCGACAUCGGUUUCGACCGGAUGCAACGGCAGAGGAAGUAAGAAGGGCAAAGCAGGGUACCCACCUGGCAUUUGGCUAGGUGUCAAAAUGUAGGGAAACGGCAUUUCGGGACAUGA
rnacentral:other from 1 species